rnacentral:rRNA from 1 species
CCUACGGGAGGCAGCAGUGAGGAAUAUUGGUCAAUGGACGAGAGUCUGAACCAGCCAAGUAGCGUGAAGGAUGACUGCCCUAUGGGUUGUAAACUUCUUUUAUAUGGGAAUAAAAUGUUCCACGUGUGGGAUUUUGUAUGUACCAUAUGAAUAAGGAUCGGCUAACUCCGUUCCAGCAGCCGCGGUAAUACGGAGGAUCCGAGCGUUAUCCGGAUUUAUUGGGUUUAACGGGAGCGUAGGUGGAUUGUUAAGUCAGAUGUGAAAGUUUGCGGCUCAACCGUAAAAUUGCAGUUGAAACUGGCAGUCGUGAGUACAGUAGAGGUGGGCGGAAUUCGUGGUGUAGCGGUGAAAUGCUUAGAUAUCACGAAGAACUCCGAUUGCGAAGGCAGCUCACUGGACUGCAACUGACACUGAGGCUCGAAAGUGUGGGUAUCAAACAGGAUUAGAUACCCUGGUAGUC